GUGUCUAUGUCUGAUUGCAGGAAAGAUCUAUAGUGUUCAGGAACUGUCCUUUUUAUCUCAAGGUACAGCUUGAUGUCAUCUGCAUAUUUCAUCACUGUGGCAUUCUUUAAGUUGGCAUCUAUGUCAUUAAUGUAUGCAACAAACAAAAGGGGACCACACGCAAAAGAGGUUGGGAUAAGAUAAAUAAGAAUUUAGUUUCCAAGUCUGUUGUGGCUGAGAAAAGCCAGCCUUUCAAAUACAGAUCGUUUGAGUAGAUUUAAU